AUUGAACGCUGGCGGCAGGCCUAACACAUGCAAGUCGAGCGAGCGGCGGACGGGUGAGUAAUGUCUGGGAAACUGCCUGAUGGAGGGGGAUAACUACUGGAAACGGUAUCUAAUACCGCAUACCCUCAGAUGUUCCCAGAUGGGAUUAGCUAGUAGGUGGGGUAAUGGCUCACCUAGGCGACGAUCCCUAGCGGGUCUGAGAGGAUGACCAGCCACACUGGAAAUGAGACACGGUCCAGACGCCUACGGGAGGCAGCAGGGGGGAAUAUGGCACAAUGGGCGAAAGCCUGAUGCAGCCAUGCCGCGUGUGUGAAGAAGGACUUCGGGUUGUAAAGCACUGUCAGCGAGGAGGCGUUACUCGAAGAAGAAGCACCGGCUAACUCCGUGCCAGCCGCCGCGGUAAUAC
rnacentral:rRNA from 1 species